UACAGAGGCCUCGAGCGUUGUCCGGAAUUACUGGGCGUAAAGCGCGUGUAGGCGGCUUUGCAAGUCGGGGGUGAAAUCCCACGGCUCAACCGUGGAAGUGCACUCGAAACUGCAAGGCUAGAGUCCUGGAGAGGAAGGUGGAAUGCUUGGUGUAGAGGUGAAAUUCGUAGAUAUCAAGCGGAACACCGGUGGCGAAGGCGGCCUUCUGGACAGUGACUGACGCUGAGACGCGAAAGCGUGGGGAGCAAACAGG
rnacentral:rRNA from 1 species